rnacentral:rRNA from 1 species
UACGGAGGGUGCAAGCGUUGCUCGGAAUCAUUGGGCGUAAAGCGUACGCAGGCUGUUCGUUAAGUCGGGUGUGAAAGCCCGGGGCUCAACCCCGGAACUGCGCCCGAAACUGGCGAGCUUGAGUGCGGGAGAGGGAAGCGGAAUUCCUGGUGUAGAGGUGAAAUGUGUAGAGAUCGGGAGGAACACCGGUGGCGAAGGCGGGUCUCUGGGCAAUUCCUGACGCUGAGGCGCGAAAGCGUGGGGAGCAAACGGG